GUGGGGAAUCUUCCGCAAUGGACGAAAGUCUGACGGAGCAACGCCGCGUGAGUGAUGAAGGUCUUCGGAUUGUAAAGCUCUGUUAAUCGGGACGAACGAGCCUAGUGUGAAUAAUGCUAGGAAGUGACGGUACCGGAAUAGAAAGCCACGGCUAACUAUGUGCCAGCAGCCGAGGUAAUACGUAGGUGGCAAGCUUUGUCCGGAAUUAUUGGGCGUAAAGCGCGCGCAGGCGGAUCUGCCAGUCUGUCUUAAAAGUUCGUGGCUUAACAUCGUGAUUGGAUGGAAACUACAGAUCUAGAGUAUCGGAGAGGAAAGUGGAAUUCCUAGUGUAGCGGUGAAAUGCGUAGAUAUUAGGAAGAACACCAGUGGCGAAGUCGACUUUCUUGACGAAAACUGACACUGAGGCGCGAAAGCCAGGGGAGCGAACGGGAUUAGAAACCCUGGUAGUCC
rnacentral:rRNA from 1 species